GCUCCAGUGAUAUAGGACGUAGCAUCGCUGCCCGGAAAGCAGAAGGAGCGGGUUCGAGUCCCGCCUGGCGCG
rnacentral:tRNA from 1 species